UCAAAAAAAAAUAAUAAUUAGGGUUUAGAAUUUGACAUAAUUUUUCAAUUGACACUUCAUGUAACCGGUGAUUAAUUUCAAAUUAAUAAAAUAUGAUGAUCUUAAUUCUGCUUGCAAGUAAACCUAUUAGGUAAAUUUAUGGCAUUGAACUUUUUUAAUGGGGACAGCAGUGCCAAGCCAUGAUGUUCUGUGAUCAAGAGGUUGUGGAAGAAGGAGCUAGUUUCAGGAGCUCAGCCAAUGAAUGUGGUUUGCGCUAUCGUCUCCAAUAGGACAUUUUUUUGUUUCCUUCAAAUUGAUCAACUCCUACUGACUGAGUCAUUGGAGGUAUACACACCGAAUAAUCGUUUCUUGGUUUGCUAUCCACUGCCAAAGAAAGGAUCGUGUAAGCCAACAAACAAAAUAGACAAAAGACAACCCACAUUUAUAAUAGCAAGUCUUUCUGAGUUUCAGUGCCCACUGACUGAAAUAAAUGAAAUCUCUCUUCAAAGUUAUCUUCAUAUGCGCCUCUGAUGAUGGAGUGAAACAGAGAAAUCUCUUUAAAGUAACAAAACAUUAUGGGAGCAGAACAACAACAAAACCAACAACUCCUGAACAAGAUUCAAGAACUUGAAGCAAGACAAUUAUAUCUCGAAGAAGAGAUCUUCAAACUAAUCCAUUCAUCAUCUUACAUACCUAAUAAAUCAGGUUUCGUUCCAAGAUCCAGCGGUGCACGAGAACACAGUGUUGCUGGUGAUGAUGAUGAGGGGAAUAGGUAUAAUUCUGGUAAUUGGAAAACGGGUUCUGCUGCGUUUGGAUUUUCACCCCCUUCACAGAGUCAGAAUAGGAGGAGAAGACCUAGUGCUGAGUUUUCAUACCCCAAUAUAGGAGCUGAAACUUCUGUUCUGAGUUUUGCUGAUAAACAGUUUUUAAAUAUCUUGCAGUCUAUGGGUCAGUCUAUUCAUAUUUUUGAUACUACUGGUCGCAUAAUUUACUGGAAUCGCAUGGCCGAGCUCCUCUUUGGGCACUCUGCAUCAGAAGCACUUGGCCAGGAUGUCUGUAAGUUACUCGCACAUUCCCAAGACGUUGAUGCAGCAAAUGAAAUAGUGAAGAGGGUUCUCUCGGGAGAAGAUUGGACAGGGCAGUUUCCAGUAAGGAAUAAAGCAGGGGAACCUUUUUGUAUCAUUGCGACCAGUUCUGCAUUAUAUGAUGACAAUGGUAGUUUGGUAGGGAUUAUUAGUAUAACAGGUAAUGCAGAUUGCUUUAGAGAUGUUUUCUUUCCAUCUUCUGUAAAAAUUUCUCCUAAAGGGUGUUCAAGCACUAGAUGGCUUAGGAGUUGUAGCCCAACAGUUAAACCUGGUGUUAAUUCUCAGCCACCUGUGCAAAAUAUGAUCGCCUCAAAGAUAUCGAAUCUGGCAUCUAGAGUGACCAGCAAAGUUCGGCUGAAAGUGAAGACUAAUGAGAACACUUUGGGGCGCGAAAUCCAGUCUGGAGAUGGUCACUAUUUUGAUCAUUGGGAGGAUCCAAGUUCAAGUAGAGCUAGCACGCCUAGACGCGGCAUAUCCCCGUCUUCUUUUGGUGUUCCUAUCAACGAUACCCUAGAGAAAAGAUCCCUGGAAAUACCUAUCAGCUAUUGUGGUGGUGAUGAUGGUGAUGGCGGGAUUGGGAAAUACAAGAGAAUAACCUCUAAGGUAGAGGCAUGGAUUAACCAAAAGGGGAUAUCAUGGCCAUGGAAGGGGAGUGAGCAGGAUGUGUCGGUAGUAAGGACUGGCCAUGAUGAUGUUCCCUUUCUGAAUGACGAUGCUGAAAUGUACUUUGGUCGGCAGAAGAAUUCCUAUAAUAAUGGAAGGCCGGUUGGUACUACCCAGUUAGAGUGUGAAGCCCCAGGUUGUUUGCCUUGUUCUGAUGUAAUGCGUACAAGCAGUGCGAGCACAAGUGUUAGUAAAAGAAGCAGCGUUAUCUGUAAAGUUGACAGGGAAACAUGUUCCUUGGAUAAUGAUAUCUUGUGGGAAGACUUGAUAAUUGGAGAAAAAAUUGGGCAAGGUUCAUGUGGAAGUGUGUAUCGUGGUCUAUGGUGUGGCUCGGAUGUAGCAUUAAAGCUAUUCGUGAAACUUGAUUACUCAGAUGACUUGCUGCAUUCCUGCAGACAGGAGGUCUUACUUAUGAAGAGGCUCCGACAUCCAAAUGUACUACUAUUUAUCGGGGCAGUAGCAUCACCUCAGCAUCUCUGCGUCAUUACAGAGUUCCUGCCAUGUGGAAGUUUGUAUCAUUUGCUUCAACGGAGCUCUGAGAAAUUAGAUUGGAGGCGACGUGUUCUCAUGGCUCUGGACAUUGCACGGGGUAUGAAUUAUCUUCAUCUUUGCAACCCACCCAUUGUUCAUCGUGACUUGAAGUCAUCAAAUCUGUUGGUUGAUAGAAACUGGACUGUGAAGGUUGGUGACUUUGGUCUCUCAAAAUUCAAGCAUCAAACGUUUCUGUCAACAUUGACUGGACGGGGAAUGCCACAGUGGAUGGCUCCAGAGGUUCUGCGUAAUGAUCGGUCAGAUGAGAAGUCUGACGUUUAUAGUUAUGGAGUAAUAUUGUGGGAGAUUGCAACACAAAAAAUCCCUUGGGAUAACUAUAACUCAAUGCAGAAAAAUAGAAACAGCAGAAGAACACGGGUCGUACUGCAGUUGCGGAGAGGUGAUUGCAGCUGUGGGAUGCAUGAACCAACGACUUGAGAUUCCAAAAGAAAUGGAUCCAGGAUGGGUCUCUAUAAUUGAGAGCUGCUGGCAAAGGUGCCUAUCUCCAACAUGUUUCUUGUUGACAUGACCCAAAAUACCGACCAACAUUCCGGGAACUGCUCGAGAAAUUAAAGCAUCUGCAGAGACUUCAAGCUUAAGCAUCCCGCUUAGCUCAUGGAAGUCAAAACUACAGCGUCGCUAACAGAUAUUUGAAUUCAUUGCAAUCUAUAUACAUAACAUCAUCAGCAGAAAUCUCAGGUGCAUGCUUGGAUUCAUGAUAAUAAUAUUUUGAGCUUGUGUUUCAUUGUUGAGAGUUCUGAUUGGAGCGUUAAAUUUGAACUUGACAUGACGUUAUGCUGCUCUUUCCCGUUGGUUCUUGUACGCCCUGUGACAAGGACAGGCAUGACAGUAUAUACACCACUGCCAAGUUGCAAAUCCAGGAGAACGCUCAAGUGCUUUGCGAAUUUCAACACUUCCUCUUAACAUUCUUCUUUGUUUUAAACAUGUUCUUGGUCCAAAAGUUUAUAGCAUUUUCAUCGUCAUUUAUAUGAGCAGCCUUAAAUGCCA